rnacentral:rRNA from 1 species
GACGAACGCUGGCGGCGUGCUUAACACAUGCAAGUCGAACGGAAAGGCCCUGCUUUUGUGGGGUGCUCGAGUGGCGAACGGGUGAGUAACACGUGAGUAACCUGCCCUUGACUUUGGGAUAACUUCAGGAAACUGGGGCUAAUACCGGAUAGGAGCUCCUGCUGCAUGGUGGGGGUUGGAAAGUUUCGGCGGUUGGGGAUGGACUCGCGGCUUAUCAGCUUGUUGGUGGGGUAGUGGCUUACCAAGGCUUUGACGGGUAGCCGGCCUGGGAGGGUGACCGGCCACAAUGGGACUGAGGUACGGCCCAGACUCCUACGGGGGGCAGCAGUGGGGAGUAUUGCACAGUGGGCGGAAGCCUGAUGCAGCAGCGCCGCGUGCGGGAUGACGGCCUUCGGGUUGUAAACCGCUUUCGCCUGUGACGAAGCGUGAGUGACGGUAAUGGGUGAAGAAGCACCGGCUAACUACGUG